ACUAGCAGGGGCCUCAUCCUCCGCGAAGGCCUCUUCUAUGCCGACGUACUUCUCUGCCUUAGCCAGCAUGUCGGAAAGUUUCAAGGAUAAGUUUUCAAUAAUGACUUCUUCAAGUUGUUCUUCUACAGUUCGCUCAUCAUUGCGGAUAUUGUGACCGACUGGUCGAGGUCGUGAACUUCAAACGUAGUUGUAUUAAAGUG
rnacentral:lncRNA from 1 species